rnacentral:rRNA from 1 species
UACGUAGGGGGCGAGCGUUGUCCGGAGUUACUGGGCGUAAAGGGCACGCAGGCGGUGCGGCGCGUUUCGCGUGACAGCGGGUGGCUCAACUACCCGAGGAUGCGAAAGACGGCGGCACUUGAGGGCCAGAGAGGGACACGGAAUUCCGGGUGGAGUGGUGAAAUGCGUAGAGAUCCGGAGGAACACCGGAAGGCGAAGGCAGUGUCCUGGCUGGUGACUGACGCUGAGGUGCGAAAGCUAGGGGAGCGAACGGG